CGUGGAUGAAAAGCAGCAAUGGGCAAAAGAGUAGCCUUGGGGACAUUUUGUUGGUUUGUGAGAAGGAGCGGCAGAUCCACGAUCGGCGCGGAUCCGACAGAGAAUUUGAGAGUUCACGGAGGCAAUCAAGAGUUUCUUUCGCUUUCUUGAGUCGCCUUUCAUAGCGGCCUUGGAAGCGGCACCACAACCUCCUUCCACCAGAAUGUGUCCAAUUUCCAAAGCUGUGUGCCCUAUUUCAUCAUGUCUAGCUCGGGAGCACGAUCAUCAGCCUGAAGAUGAGUGCACAACAUGCCGGUGUGUACACUGUCAACAUCCUGCUGCCUGCUGCCCUAAUCAAGGCCCACAUCGACAGCGGUGACACUCAACAGAGCCGUGCAGUUGUGUUUUUAGCAGGGAGGAACUAAGAGCUAGUCUUCCUUUUUUUUUUUUUUUGGUUAAGCAUUAAUUAGGUUGCAUUUUUUUUUUUUUUUUGCACCCCCUUAAGGGCUGGGAGGGAAUCUGAUUCUGAACGUGGGCUCAUCUGACCCUUUUGACACCUGAACAGCUUUGGAUAGGCGUAAAAGUUGUUCUUAAGAAACAAUCAUUUUUAAACAUUCCACACUUCAUGACUUUUUUUUGGGCUCAUUUUCUGGAGUCUUGAGACAUUGUUGAAGGCCUAACAGGAUUGCGGGUGAAUUCUGAUCUGAAUGUGCGAUAGCAGAAAUGCUCUUCUGGAACUGGAACAAAUGCACACAAUAUGCGCCAUUAUGGUCCCUUUGCUCUACAACUGGUCCAGUCUUUUGAGUAAACGCAGUGUAAAAAUAAACUUGAUUUCGAUGUCA